AAACUGAACUGUGCAGUGUGGUUCUGAGUGCAGUCUUUAUAAAGCCCAGUGCUGUACUGGUAAAUAUAAACAUUUUAUAACGUGAAAAGCACAACGACACAAUAUGUCCCCUUAAUAUCUGGAAAAACCAAUAUAAGCCCUCCCACUCCCUACUACCACUGAUUGCCACCAAACAAAUAAACAAAAUGCCCACCCCACCCAACAACAACAAUAACACAUCAAGGGGGAAAAUGUCAUAUUUCCUGGACCUACCACAAUGUACAGAAAAUAACAGACAGUGUUAUCAAAUCCCACUCUAUGUCUUCUAGGGAAAUGUUUAUGUUUGUGUCUACCUACUGAGUCUGUAGAAUAAACAAUUUCCUUUAGGAAACAUAAAAAUAGGUUUUUUAUUCUUAGUUUUUAAUCAUGCAUUUUUAUUUCCUUUUAAUCUCUUUGUCUUCUAUUAAUCUCUAUCUGUACAGCUUUGUCACCACUUUUUUUUUAUUUUCUCACUUGAAGUAGUUCCAGAAAAAAACACAAAACCUCAAAACUGUUAACUUGACCUUAUAAUUUCCUUCCUUCCUUUCUUUCUUUCUUUCUUUCUUUUUCUUUCUUUCUUUCUUUCACACAGGUAAGACCUAUAACAAAUUGACAAUUACAACCAAGUUAAAUCGAACCUGGAAGGGAGGUAGCUGAAAUCUGUCUCAAAGAAUUAUUUUUAACAAAUAGUAUUUAAGCAUUGGCCAAGAUGGGAAUAAGACCAAGAGAACCGUCUAGGCAGUGACUCAAUGUGUUGAAGCCAGGAGUGGCAGCUGAUACCCUGCAUUUUCAAAGCCCUGCCAUCUAUGACCAUUAAUCUUUCCCUUCCUUAACACCCCAAUUCACCAUCAAAACUCAUUUCCCAAAGACUGUAUUUCCUUAAAAGGUUGUUGGCACAGAAUCUGGGGGAAAUGCAAAUCCUUUGGGUAGGUAGUUAAGAUUGUGGCUUGGAAAAGCUUCCCUAUAUAGGGCUUAGAGAACUGUUCACCUCAUCUUUUAUAUUUUGCUGCUAACAAUCUAAUACUUCAGAUGCAGAACCUUCAGUGUUUUAGGGCUUUGAGCCGCUGACAAACAAUAGUGCAUCAGAGCUGCUUCUCAGUGCUCUGGUCACCUAAACAGAAGAUGACUGAAGGAAUGAAAUGACAAGUUAAUUCCCAGGAAGAAAAUGAAACUGGGAACAAAUGCAUUGCCCAAAUUGAGCUGACCCUCCUCCACUAAGGUUUGAAAAGACCCUAUUAAAGAUACCUUCCAUGUGGGCACGAGGUUGGCCACCAAUCAAGUAGCCUCUUUUGCCUGAUAUCCUUGGCAAAUAUAAAUUUGUUAGCAACAGAUCUGAAUGAAAGAGACUGAGUGGGUCUUGAUUCAGAAGAGCUGAAUUCACUCUGUGAGUCUGAAGAUACAAGUCAGCCUCCAGGAAUCUUUGCUUAGCUGGAUAGUGUAAGAAUAGAUAAUGAUGGGAGUGAAGAUAGAAAGAGGAUAAGGACUGAUUUGAGGGAAGCUGGUAAGGUUCUUCUGUGGCUCCUGAAAUCACAUCAUUAGUAAUGUCAUCUUUGGGUCUUCAGAGCUUUAUGUAUUACCUAUGGGUAUAAUUAAGCAACUGGGAGGGUUGAUACUGUUACACUUCUUAGCUUGUACCUUCUAAGUUAACACCACACAGGCUGAUAACUCAGGGCAAAAGAGAGGCCUGGAGAGUUGGCAAGAGUGCGAAGAUACUGGAGAGGGGUUCAAAAUAGGAGCGAUUCUUCUAAUACUAUUCUUAUUUCUUGCUAAUAAUUGGUCCUUGUAAUUAUAGUGAAGUAAUGGUCUGGAUAUAAAUGAGAUAUGGUUUUGUGAGGAAGAAACACAGAGGAUUAUUCUUAACAAUUGUGGCAGCCUUGCCAAUAUGGAACCCAAUUUCAGAGUUUGUGAAAUGGUAUGCGUCUCAUAAACUAUCUCAGCACUGCAUCAGUAUUUGUGGGCACCUGUGCCAAAAGCACCUUGACAUGUUUCUUAAUGUAAUUGGCCAGAGAUGGCCAAUAGAUGUCUUCUCAAGUGUUUUUGAUCACCAGGUCAGUGCUAUUGGGAGUGAUAUAAUAUGGUAUGGUGGUUCCUAAAGUUACUUUUGGUCUCUCUCUUUUUUUUUUUUUUUUUUUAGAAAAGGGCUAUGAUAGAUUAACAACACCUGCCUUGGAUGCAGGAAUUAGGUGGGGCUGCACAUGUGCAUGGUAUUUUCUAUCCCUACGCUAGGUUUUGUUUCUGUUGGCUGUCUUCACUAGACUUGAGAUGACUUGAUUUACAGUAAUCCCUAUGUGAUAUAACUAGUCUAGACCUUCCCUUCUCCUCAAUUCCCAGCUCCAGGUUUCAGAAAGUAUGUCACACUCAACCCUUCUCUCCAGUUCAUCCUGUAUUAAUUUCUUCCCAUAUUAAUUCAAAGGGAGUGGACAGGUCCCUGGCUGAAAAGAAACAAAGAGAUUCCCAAA
rnacentral:antisense_RNA from 1 species